rnacentral:lncRNA from 1 species
CAGGAUGGAAACUGCCUGCGGUGAACAGCUCGUUAUUAGUGCUCUACUUUUCGCAGCAAUUAAGUCAAGAACCAUGGCACCUGUUCAUCUCACCUCCCUCGCGGGAAUUAACAUGCCGUAUGGGAAGGGGAUUUGCAAGGGGGGAAGAGCUUCCUUGCGUCUGUUAAAGAACAGGUGUUAUGUAAGGAGGAAGAAAAGCAGAAAAGGAGAACAUAAGUGAGAGGAAAAAAUUGGUGUGUAAAGGAAAGAAAGGAUGGUUUCCACAAAUUAACUACAAAUGGGAACUACACAGGACUGGGGACUUCUGCUUGCCACUUUAUGGCCCCAAAAGAUUGUUUCUUCCCCUUCUUCAAUGACCUAUAGGAUCUAGGGCAAAUUGCACACGUGUAAGUUAUUACAAAUGACUUUCACACACAAAUAUAUGUAAAAUAAAAUUGCAGUGCUUCCAUUUUUGGACA